rnacentral:misc_RNA from 1 species
UAAAAAUUUCAAAAGGUUGGACCCGUGUCAACUGGUAUUGCAAAAAGUUGGUAUUCCUUCUGGACUUUCCUGUCUAAAAAUCCUAUUGAAAUUUAAGUAUGCAGUACUGAAUUGCUUAUAUAUGAAUCAAUCAAAUAAAUUUUCAAUCAUUUCAUCAAUUGUACUUUUGUUGAUCAAUGAAACAUGCUUGUUAACCUGCACCUGCCUAGCCAGUUGGAUUUUCUAGACUAUGAAUGAGAAAGUCCAAGGGCCAGUUUUUGCUAGCUUCAAACUCUCUUUUAAUUCAACCCAGCUGGCCAGCGCCACCUGUUUCAAUUGGCUGAACAACCCAUGAUCUAGUUGGCCAGUCAUGGUUGGUUCCAUGUGUGAUUGCUCCGAUCAAUUUACCUCUGAAAAAUACAUGUUUAUAUUUGUUUGAGACAAGAACCUAACCCUUUACAUUCUACCUACCACAUAAGCUAGGAACUGAUACGAACUUAGAAGAACCACAUCCCAAAAGCUAAUUAUUGAGGUUGGAGAGCCCAGGUUCAUAUAUACCCUACAUUGAAAUCUCAUAUUUUCAAUGUGAGACACAAGUUUUCUUGCAAUGGGAUCGUAACAUUCCACCACACUCCGCAGCCCUGGCGCCUACACAGGCUGGCUUUGUGCUAGUUUAAUCUAGCCCUAGGCGAACACUUAUUC